rnacentral:rRNA from 1 species
GACGAACGCUGGCGGCGUGCCUAAUACAUGCAAGUAGAACGCUGAAGGAGGAGCUUGCUCUUCUGGAUGAGUUGCGAACGGGUGAGUAACGCGUAGGUAACCUGCCUGGUAGCGGGGGAUAACUAUUGGAAACGAUAGCUAAUACCGCAUAAUAGUAGAUGUUGCAUGAUAUUUACUUAAAAGGUGCAAUUGCCCCACUACCAGAUGGACCUGCGUUGUAUUAGCUAGUUGGUGGGGUAACGGCUCACCAAGGCGACGAUACAUAGCCGACCUGAGAGGGUGAUCGGCCACACUGGGACUGAGACACGGCCCAGACUCCUACGGGAGGCAGCAGUAGGGAAUCUUCGGCAAUGGACGAAAGUCUGACCGAGCAACGCCGCGUGAGUGAAGAAGGUUUUCGGAUCGUAAAGCUCUGUUGUAAGAGAAGAACGAGUGUGAGAGUGGAAAGUUCACACUGUGACGGUAUCUUACCAGAAAGGGACGGCUAACUACGUG